AGAGUUUGAUCCUGGCUCAGGACGAACGCUGGCGGCGUGCCUAAUACAUGCAAGUCGAGCGAGCUUGCCUAGAUGAUUUUAGUGCUUGCACUAAAUGAAACUAGAUACAAGCGAGCGGCGGACGGGUGAGUAACACGUGGGUAACCUGCCCAAGAGACUGGGAUAACACCUGGAAACAGAUGCUAAUACCGGAUAACAACACUAGACGCAUGUCUAGAGUUUGAAAGAUGGUUCUGCUAUCACUCUUGGAUGGACCUGCGGUGCAUUAGCUAGUUGGUAAGGUAACGGCUUACCAAGGCAAUGAUGCAUAGCCGAGUUGAGAGACUGAUCGGCCACAUUGGGACUGAGACACGGCCCAAACUCCUACGGGAGGCAGCAGUAGGGAAUCUUCCACAAUGGACGAAAGUCUGAUGGAGCAACGCCGCGUGAGUGAAGAAGGGUUUCGGCUCGUAAAGCUCUGUUGGUAGUGAAGAAAGAUAGAGGUAGUAACUGGCCUUUAUUUGACGGUAAUUACUUAGAAAGUCACGGCUAACUACGUGCCAGCAGCCGCGGUAAUACGUAGGUGGCAAGCGUUGUCCGGAUUUAUUGGGCGUAAAGCGAGUGCAGGCGGUUCAAUAAGUCUGAUGUGAAAGCCUUCGGCUCAACCGGAGAAUUGCAUCAGAAACUGUUGAACUUGAGUGCAGAAGAGGAGAGUGGAACUCCAUGUGUAGCGGCGGAAUGCGUAGAUAUAUGGAAGAACACCAGUGGCGAAGGCGGCUCUCUGGUCUGCAACUGACGCUGAGGCUCGAAAGCAUGGGUAGCGAACAGGAUUAGAUACCCUGGUAGUCCAUGCCGUAAACGAUGAGUGCUAAGUGUUGGGAGGUUUCCGCCUCUCAGUGCUGCAGCU
rnacentral:rRNA from 1 species